GAUCUUUGAGUCAUCUUCUGUGUUCUCCAAUUCCAUAACUGCUGUGGGAUUGCCUAUAGUUCCAGUUGUAGCAGUGA
rnacentral:sRNA from 1 species